GUGGGGAAUAUUGGACAAUGGGGGCAACCCUGAUCCAGCAAUGCCGCGUGAGUGAUGAAGGCCUUAGGGUUGUAAAGCUCUUUCGGCGGGGACGAUGAUGACGGUACCCGCAGAAGAAGCCCCGGCUAACUUCGUGCCAGCAGCCGCGGUAAUACGAAGGGGGCGAGCGUUGUUCGGAUUUACUGGGCGUAAAGGGCGCGCAGGCGGUCUUGAAAGUCAGGCGUGAAAGCCCCGGGCUUAACCUGGGAAUUGCGCUUGAUACUCUGAGACUGGAGUACGGGAGAGGAGAGUGGAAUUCCCAGUGUAGAGGUGAAAUUCGUAGAUAUUGGGAAGAACACCAGUGGCGAAGGCGGCUCUCUGGACCGUAACUGACGCUGAGGCGCGAAAGCGUGGGGAGCAAACAGGAUUAGAUACCCCAGUAGUCC
rnacentral:rRNA from 1 species